CUGCAGAGCGAAGUUCGCCCCGCUGCCGGCGCGGAGGCCCGGGGGGACAGGGGAGCCCUGCUACCAUCUUGCCGACUCUAAGCCCUGCCCGGCCGCCGGCCUGGGCCGAGCCGCGGUCCGCCGGGCCCCGGGAGCAGCUCCCGGCCAGGCUGGGCCGUGGCCAGGGCUGCUGAGAUUCUGCCUGGCCGUUUCCUGCCGCCGCUUUCACCAGCAAUCCCCGGGCAGGGAAGCCACGGUCCCGCGGCCCUCCUGGUUCUGCCCGGCUGCUGAACUCCUUGCCGCCACCCCUCAGCGCGGCCGCUGCCCAGCAGAGACCUCGGCACCAACAGCGAAAGAUGUGGCAGUAAAGGACAAUGUGGUACAUACAGGGAAAAGGCAGAGCUGUGAGGAUGAAGCAUGAAGUAAUUAGAAGUUCUUCAAAUGAGCUGGGUGAAAUGGAACAGAAGGUGCAGCCUCGGCAGACAGAACUCUCUGAACACCCAGCCUGACAGUCUCAGGAUUGCUGUCUCGGUCUAACAAAGAGGAAACAGAUUUUACUGCAGUAGGACCAACGUAAUGAUUUCUACGAGCAUUGGCAGGACUUUUCCUGAAUGCAGUGUGAUUGCUUUCUAACUUACACUGUUGUCUGCAUUUUGUGUAUACUGUAUAACCCAAAAAGGAAAUAAAAAAGUACCGCUUUUCUGAGAGAAACCCAA